CUCGUAGGCGGUUCGUCGCGUCCGACGUGAAAGUCCAUCGCUUAACGGUGGAUCCGCGCCGGGUACGGGCGGGCUUGAGUGCGGUAGGGGAGACUGGAAUUCCCGGUGUAACGGUGGAAUGUGUAGAUAUCGGGAAGAACACCAAUGGCGAAGGCAGGUCUCUGGGCCGUUACUGACGCUGAGGAGCGAAAGCGUGGGGAGCGAACA
rnacentral:rRNA from 1 species